AGAGUUUGAUCAUGGCUCAGAUUGAACGCUGGCGGCAGGCCUAACACAUGCAAGUCGAACGGUAACAGGAAGCAGCUUGCUGCUUCGCUGACGAGUGGCGGACGGGUGAGUAAUGUCUGGGAAGCUGCCUGAUGGAGGGGGAUAACUACUGGAAACGGUAGCUAAUACCGCAUAAUGUCGCAAGACCAAAGAGGGGGACCUUCGGGCCUCUUGCCAUCGGAUGUGCCCAGAUGGGAUUAGCUUGUUGGUGGGGUAACGGCUCACCAAGGCGACGAUCCCUAGCUGGUCUGAGAGGAUGACCAGCCACACUGGAACUGAGACACGGUCCAGACUCCUACGGGAGGCAGCAGUGGGGAAUAUUGCACAAUGGGCGCAAGCCUGAUGCAGCCAUGCCGCGUGUAUGAAGAAGGCCUUCGGGUUGUAAAGUACUUUCAGCGGGGAGGAAGGGAGUAAAGUUAAUACCUUUGCUCAUUGACGUUACCCGCAGAAGAAGCACCGGCUAACUCCGUGCCAGCAGCCGCGGUAAUACGGAGGGUGCAAGCGUUAAUCGGAAUUACUGGGCGUAAAGCGCACGCAGGCGGUUUGUUAAGUCAGAUGUGAAAUCCCCGGGCUCAACCUGGGAACUGCAUCUGAUACUGGCAAGCUUGAGUCUCGUAGAGGGGGGUAGAAUUCCAGGUGUAGCGGUGAAAUGCGUAGAGAUCUGGAGGAAUACCGGUGGCGAAGGCGGCCCCCUGGACGAAGACUGACGCUCAGGUGCGAAAGCGUGGGGAGCAAACAGGAUUAGAUACCCUGGUAGUCCACGCCGUAAACGAUGUCGACUUGGAGGUUGUGCCCUUGAGGCGUGGCUUCCGGAGCUAACGCGUUAAGUCGACCGCCUGGGGAGUACGGCCGCAAGGUUAAAACUCAAAUGAAUUGACGGGGGCCCGCACAAGCGGUGGAGCAUGUGGUUUAAUUCGAUGCAACGCGAAGAACCUUACCUGGUCUUGACAUCCACGGAAGUUUUCAGAGAUGAGAAUGUGCCUUCGGGAACCGUGAGACAGGUGCUGCAUGGCUGUCGUCAGCUCGUGUUGUGAAAUGUUGGGUUAAGUCCCGCAACGAGCGCAACCCUUAUCCUUUGUUGCCAGCGGUCCGGCCGGGAACUCAAAGGAGACUGCCAGUGAUAAACUGGAGGAAGGUGGGGAUGACGUCAAGUCAUCAUGGCCCUUACGACCAGGGCUACACACGUGCUACAAUGGCGCAUACAAAGAGAAGCGACCUCGCGAGAGCAAGCGGACCUCAUAAAGUGCGUCGUAGUCCGGAUUGGAGUCUGCAACUCGACUCCAUGAAGUCGGAAUCGCUAGUAAUCGUGGAUCAGAAUGCCACGGUGAAUACGUUCCCGGGCCUUGUACACACCGCCCGUCACACCAUGGGAGUGGGUUGCAAAAGAAGUAGGUAGCUUAACCUUCGGGAGGGCGCUUACCACUUUGUGAUUCAUGACUGGGGUGGAGUCGAAACAAGGUA
rnacentral:rRNA from 1 species